rnacentral:lncRNA from 1 species
CAAUUUAAAUACGGAAGCACAUCCAACAACUCCCUUCCCUACAUUCAGAAAUCGAUGCACACCUACUAAACAUUUAUAAGUAAAAGCCGUACACUUUUAUUCACUUAACCCAGAUGGACAUCAUUCAUCGAUACAUCAAAUUGCCAUAGUCUUUCUAUACUUGGCUAUAUUUCAAAAGAUGACCGAUGUCGCUUCCAAUAAUCGUCUACUUUAGAGUCCAUCGAUUAGUGUCGGCGCCCAAAAGCUCCUUCCCUUGCUAUCCUCCUCCUCACGGUCACAUCCAACCGUUCAAACCAUCUACUAAUCUGAAAUGUUGGUCCCCAAAAGGGGUGAGUACAACCACUCAGCAGGUAAAGGAAUCCAAUAACAACUCAAUGCAUCAUACAAAUCAUACAUGCAUUGCAGGCGUAACUUACCUUGAAGCCAUGCGCAUACUAUCAUGCAUCAUCAUCACAAAUUUCAACACAUACAUGUGUAUCAUCACUAUAUCAUACAUGUCAUCAUCACAUUACACAUGUCAUCAUCAUGGCAUCAUCAUCAUCAUCAUUGUCAUGCAUAUCAUCAUGCAUAUCAUACCAUGGGUGAUCAUCACAUCACAUCUCAUCAUCACUAUCAUGCAUCAUGCAUAUCAUACCAUGGGUGAUCAUCAUAUCACAUCACAUAACAUCAUCAUCAUCAUCAUGCAUAUCAUCAUGCAUAUCAUACCAUGGGUGAUCAUCAUCAUCAUCAUUAUCAUGCAUAUCAUCAUGCAUAUCAUACCAUGGGUGAUCAUCAUAUCACAUCACACAACAUCAUCAUCAUUAUCAUGCAUAUCAUGCCAUGAGUUGAUUAUCAUCUUUAUCUUUCAAUUUUGAUCACCACAUCACCCAUUUCUCAAAUCGUCAAUCUCAUCAUCAACCCUUCGGGCAGAAACCUCCGACAGGGCUCAUCAUCCCACAUUUUACACUCGCAUCCCAUGCGAGAAAACCUCCGGGCAUGUAUCCAAGAUACAACCGGGCAUCCGGCCCCCCACAUUCCGGGCAUCUCGCAUCCCAACUAGCAUCACGAGGAACCUCCGGGCAUGUAUCCAAGAUACAACCAGACUUCUGGCCUUUACCCUUCUAGCCAGGCAUCCCGCACCCCAAUCCUGGUGUCGCGAGGCAUCUCCGGGCAUGUAUCCAAGAUACAACCGGACUUCCGGCCCCCCACAUUCCGGGCAUCCUGAAACUCCCAGGGAAUCUCUGGAAUUACGCCACCAGGCCACCAGACAACAUCCUCCGCCACAACCUCUUACUCACAUACCACUUUCCACUUUUUAUCAUCCUUUUCAUCUUAUGAUUUCAUGGCAUAUGAUUCACACACAUGCAUCAUGAUUCAUAAUCAUACAUGCAUCAAUGCCAUGUAACAAUGCAUCAUAUUCAUGUGCAUGCAUACACCCAUGUCAUAUAUCAAUGCAUUAUAACUCAAUAAAACUCUUGGCCAAUAAAAUAAUCCACUUUUUAUUUUAUUAUUAUUUUAUUAUUUUAUUUAUUUAUUUUCAUAAAUAAAUAUUAUAUUUAAUAUUUAUGAUUUUCCAAAAAUCAUAAUAUUCAAACAAUCAUUAAAAAAACAAUUAAAAUCACAAUUUCACACAAAUUCAUGGCCAAAUUUGCAUUUCACAUAAUUUCCCAAAUUUCCACGAAAUACACACAAUAUUCGGAUAAUGGCCAGAUUACACAGUUUUCGAAUUAAUUCAAUUAAAAUACUCAUAUGACCUCCGAAAAUUCCCAAAUUUUACAGGGUGAUAGCCAACACAUUUUCGUGCAUUUUUCCUGAAUAACACUAAACCAAAUUCUUUUUAGAUUAAUUUAUACAACUCCAUGAAGCUUCUGGAACCUCUACCGUUUCGUCCAGAACGUACAUCACCGAAAAACUUAGGUUUGACCCAUCAAAUCUCUUUCGUUUCUUCUGAAAUUUGAGUAUGUUAUGUAACAAGGUGUCCUUUACAAGUUUCAUGAAGAGAUCUAGGUUAAAUAACCAAGGUAUGAUCCUCUUUUAAGUCCUUGAAGUCUCGGGUGUCUCGGUAUACUUCAACAGAACCAAACGUCUCAAAGAUCUAACCGAUUCACUAGGCUAUACUCAUUUGUUUCUCUUCAAAUUUGAUUAUGUUGUAGUUUAGGAUGUUACCAACAACUUUCAUGAAGACAACAAAGUGAGAUCUCCAACAGAAAUCAACAUGCAACCAAGAAAUCAUCAAAAGGUCAGUGAAGAUUUCGCGGAUCUGAGGUCUCCGUAUAACAGAGCUUUUGACCCCUCAUAUCACCAUCGUUUUCCAUGAAAUUCGAGUAUGUCAUACCUCAAGAUGUUAGCUUCAACUUUCAUGAAGACACCGAAGCCAAAAUCACACUCCAAAUACACAUGCAAGCUCGAAUAGGAAACUGUCUACCACAAACCGAACGGAAACAGCCACAUAACAUGAUCACAUGCAACCCUUACCUCGGUUCUUCGCCCAAACCACACCUAAAAUCUAACAUGCAACCAUCAAAACAACAUGCAAGAGAAGUUAUGAACCCCCACUUGCCUUAAAGAAGAACACACAGCAACACACGGCGGCGUAGGACGGUCGGACUAGGCGGACGUACGGCGAACGGGCGGCGGAAACUCUCGGCUCCACCUCCUCCCUCUCGGCCUCUCCUCCGCUCAAGCUCUCUCUCGCACACUCUCUCUUGGACGGAAAUGAAGAAGCAACCGGCCACUCUCUCUCCAAAUCCCCCUUUUUAUACUCCCCUAGGCUCAUCAUAGGUAAUGAUUGAUCCACCACACCUAUGGCCAAUGCAUGCUCUUUACUUUAUGCCACUUGUCACACUAAUUUUUGAAUUGAUUUGGGCUUGGGCUUGGGCUUAGGCCCAACCGGCCACUCCUCCUUGGGCUGGUCGAAAAUCCUUCUUGGGCCCAAUGGGCCGACUAGCUUGGCCCACCAAGCUCUAGGCUAAUGGGUCCAAGGCCCAUUUCGAAUUUUAUCCCUUUUUCCCUUUUUUUUUUUUUGAAUUCCUUUCUAUAAAUAUUUCUAAAUUCAAAUUUCAUCUUGGCCAAAGCCUUGGGAUAUUUUUAAUUAUUGAAAUUUAAAUCAUAUGGCCAAGCAUUAACUAAUUAAAUUUAAAUUUCCACAAUCACAAGCAAAAUUCAUCAAAUUAAAAGACAAAUUGGCUAAAGCAUAAGCCAUAAAAUUCUACCACCUAAUUAAAGACAUUUAACACACCUUAAGGCUUGGCUUUGAAAUUCCGGGAUGCCACAAUUCUCCCCUCCUUAGAGAAUUUCGUCCUCGAAAUUCAAGCACUACUCGCGCCUUCUUGAAAUAAAUAAGGAUACUUUUCCCUCAUCUGAUCCUCACUUUCCCAUGUGGCUUCCUCCACAUCAUGAUGUCGCCAUAACACCUUAACCAAUGGGAUCUUUUUGGUCCUAAGAAUUUGCUCCUUUCGAUCUAAUAUCUGCACAGGCUCUUCAAUAUACCUUACUUUCUCAUCCAUUUUGAUGGCUUCAUGAUCGAGUAUGUGACCGGGAUCGGGUUGACACUUCCUCUAAAGUUAAGGAUGCAAGCUCUUAACAUAUCUUAAUUUAUCUCAACACCAUAAACAUUUUUAAAACAAUACCCACAUCUGAAAUUUCUUUUGAACGCUUGAAAAUCUUCCUUUAUGAAAUCCAACAAUACAAACUGAGGUUUUCAAAAGCAAUCAACAACAACAGCAAGCUUUGAAAUCAUAUGUCAUUUCCAUGUCAAAACGUUUUCAAAUCCCCAAUGUGGAAAAUCCUUUGAGUUCUCGAAAAUUCCACCUCAUGAUAUCAAAUAAUGCGAAAUAGGAAUUUCAAAGACACAGAGGCAUAACAAUGAUAGUAUUUGAAAAUAGGUAAAUCUCAUAUCGUUGAAACCAAUUCACAAAAUCAAAGCAUGAUACCAAUUUCAUAAAAUUCAUGAUCACGUUUAAAUUUCAAAUGUCUUUCGGAAUUUACAUGUAAAGUCUUAAGUCGCACUUGCACCACGGCGCGAAAUAAAAUACUUUAUCAAAACCCUUAGUAAAUUUAAAUUGGUACGUUGGCAAAAUUCCAAUCUCAAUCCCAACUCCAAUGGGUUGGAAUGUUUUCUAUAAAAAGUUCAGAAAUCCUUGAAAUAGAAAACAUUUCUUAAAACAUUUGGGCACGGCAUCACAGUACUCAUAAAUUUUGAUGAGAUUCAAAAGAUUUUCUAAAAUAGUUCACAAUCAAAAUCUGCUUUUCGAUUGAAGUUCAAAACUUGGAAUGUGCAGGUGAUAAUUUUCUCCAGAAACCAUAAGCAUUUCUUGAAGUAUUGAAAAUCAUAGUUCGGCAAGUCGAUAAUAUUGGUCCAAGAUGUUUGAAACCAAAAACUUUGAAAUACCAAAAUCCUAAGCCUUUCUUGAAAUACUGAAAUCAACGCAUCGGCGAGUCAUCAAACUCAGUCCCAACCUUAAGAUUUUCAAAGUAGUUUACGUGCAAAAUCUUAGAGCUUUGAAAACAUCCAAACUCAAGUAUUUCCAAUUCUAACUGCACUACAUCAGACAACAAUGGCAUUGCAUUAUAUAGGUUAGUAGACUUUCACUUGCUGGCAUGUUAAACACUAGGAAACGUGUUUAGCUACAUCCACCUUCAUGCCAUUCCACCAAAACUGUUGGCGUAAUUUCUAUACCUUUGUCGCCACCAAUUCAAGCCUAGAACCAUCAAAAUCAACACCACCAAUAACUCAUUUGGUUCAAUCCAGCAAAGACAUUCACUAUGCAUUCACCGCAACAUAGAUUCAAGCCUAAAAUAUAGCAUCAUUCCUUCAAUUCAAAUAUCUAUAGUCCACCAAGACUUAUUUAAUUCAAAAAUCGACAAUCCACCAAAAUAAUACUUGUCUAGUUUCCACCGAAUAUAUCUCAGAUCUCAUCCUAAAUGAUCAUCACUUAGACUAAUCACUCCUCAAGUCCACAAUUUGAACUUCCACCAAUUCACCUUGGAAAGACUAUAACCACAAAUGAUCAUGUUCACUAAUUCCACCAAAUCCUUUCAAACUGAGAUCAUCACCUAAAAUUAAAAGUUGACCAUCAUCAAUUAAACCUAUUAUUCCGACAUAUAAACCUCAAAUAAUUUCAUGUCUCAUAUGACCACUCAAACUCAUGACUUCCAAGAUCAAUUUAUACAUACUAAAUACCUCCAUGUAACGCAUCAAGACUUCCAAUGAAAUCCUCAAAUAGGAAAUCACUACUUAGCUCAAAUGAUCAUAACUUAAUCCUUAACUGAUAUCUUGAUCUCAAAUCAACUUUUAGAAAAGACCGAAAUUCCUUGCAGUUGGUCAAAUAGGUCAUCAAUUACAUAAUUCAAUUGCCUAUUAUCAAAGCACAACUGCAUCAAACAUCCUUCUUUCUCACAACAAGAGUUCUACAAGCUUAACCAUGCUUCCGCUACGCCACUCUAAUAGACUUAUCCCAGAAACAUUACCUUUCCAGUUCAGAUCAUAGUUCGGUUCACUCCUGCCCCCUUUUGCCAUUCUAGAAGCCUACCAGGAGCCGCUCCUUGUUCAGGUCCUCUGACCUCGGCGUCCACUCCUCGCUCUCAUCAAACCGGGACGUUACAGGUACACCAGCUUUCGCUUGGUUCGAACCCAAAGUACACAUCUACUGAAAGGUCUCGUUUCAAUAGGGAUUAACUUACAGAGAUAUUAUCCGCUUUGGCUUAUUCCAUUCUUAGCCUCACGGUUUUGUCCUUAGCGCACGAGUAAGUACUAUCUCAGGAGAUCAUUCAUCGUAGUCCAUUGCUUACGGAGCUAGUUCAUUCUUAUAAUGACAUCAAAGUCAUACAUAACUAUCACUAUCAAGUCCAUUUCCAGAUCUCAUUCCCCUAGGGUUAUCUCACUCAUCUCACAUGUCAACGUAGAUAACGGCAUAACUUUCAACGAUGUAGAAAUACGAAGAGGCAUAUCUAGAGAUUUGUUCCUACUCCUCACAAUCAUCUAUAUUUUCGGACACAAAUGAAUGCAUGCCACUUAUAUCAAAUAACACAUGCCUUCUUAUCCCUAUAUCGAAAUCAUACCUGAGAUAACACUUUUGGAAGCUCCUGCUUCCUCUUGAGUGACUGCAUACACCCUUCCUUGUGGUGGCAGUCUCUGUGGGUUCCUUAGUAAAUUUGGUCCACUAGUACUUUGUUGUACCUGUCGCACCGAGCUAACAUUCGAUUGCAACCUCUUUUGUGGACAAUCUUUCUUAAAGUGACCUCUCUGCCCACAGCCAAAACAUUUCAAUCGAUCAUUACAAGGUCCUGGUCCAUGUUGUCUACCACAUCUCUGGCAAAUAUUACCCCGGUAGGGUACUCUUCCUAAAAUCGGGCCACUUCUGACCUUUCUAGAAUUCCCAAAAUUAUUCCUCUUCUUAGAUUCCCAGGUCUGACCUUGAUCAGGAUAAGGUCUCUUACCCCUUCGAACAUCACUAAAGGUCAUCUGCCUCUUAGAUUCUGAUUGCUCUCUCACUAACUCUUGCUCCACCAACUGUGCCCUCUCAUAAAUCUCAUUAUAAUCCCUUAUAUUUAGAGGCACUAGUUGUUUUCUAAUAUCAGUCCUUAAUCCUUUCAGGAAUCUCUUAGCCUUUUCCUCUCGAUCCUCAACCAACCUAGGAGCAUAUCUAGACAAUUCAGAAAAUCUAGCCUCAUACUGAUCUACAGUCAACCCUUUUUGUUCUAGCUGAACAAAUUCAGUGAUCUUCUUAUCCUUGGCACAAUCAGAGAAAUGCUUCCUAUUGAAAGCCCUAACAAACUCAUCCCAGUUCACAUCAGUACCUGGUGGAAAGAUCGUAUCCUUCGAAGCUCUCCACCAAAACUUUGCAUUUCCCUCCAGCUGGUACUCUGCCAAAACUAUUUUCUCUGCAUCACUACAGUCCAACAACUGGAAAAUUCGUUCCAUUCCAUCAAUCCAAUGUUCCGCCUCCUCAGGACUUCCCAUUCCACUAAACUUAAGUGGUUUCAACUUCAGAAAUUGUUCCACCAGUCCCUGAGGGCGACGUUCCACUCCGGAUUGUUGCUGCGCUUGUCUAUCCAUCAGAUUUCCAAUAUUGGCCAAUGCCUGCAGGAUAUCUUCCAUUCGGGGUUCAGCCCUUGCAACAAAGGCUUCAGCCCUCGAUGGAUGAGCACUUCCAGCUCGCACCAUAACUUUCCUGCAAUUUACCAAGCAUUGCCUCAGGAAUAAUCUGAGACUCACUAUUUCCAUUCAAAGCAACAACUACUACUACAUAAGUAACAUAUGCAUGUUACUGGUACCUAAAGACAACUCAAGGUAAACUACUAGGGAUCUACGAGUGAAUUCUCAUCACCCGUUAUUCAAUUAUUUCAUUUUACAUCCUAUGGUGUGCAUCAUUCUAUCCUCAUUUCCAUCUGAGGCUCCUUAUCACUCCAGAUAGACCAUAGCUCUGAUACCAACAAAGGCUGUGACACCCCUCGACGGCCCCCGAUCCGAUUUGGGUCGCCACAGUUUGCUUACCAUUUACUUUCCCUAUUAACAUGUCACUCUGAUACCAUUUCAAUUGCAGCGGGUCCAUACAACCAUGGGGGUUUACAUCUUUUAGAUCGGUCCCUUGCGCAAUUUAAAUACGGAAGCACAUCCAACAACUCCCUUCCCUACAUUCAGAAAUCGAUGCACACCUACUAAACAUUUAUAAGUAAAAGCCGUACACUUUUAUUCACUUAACCCAGAUGGACAUCAUUCAUCGAUACAUCAAAUUGCCAUAGUCUUUCUAUACUUGGCUAUAUUUCAAAAGAUGACCGAUGUCGCUUCCAAUAAUCGUCUACUUUAGAGUCCAUCGAUUAGUGUCGGCGCCCAAAAGCUCCUUCCCUUGCUAUCCUCCUCCUCACGGUCACAUCCAACCGUUCAAACCAUCUACUAAUCUGAAAUGUUGGUCCCCAAAAGGGGUGAG